UCUAUACAGGUUGCCGAUGUGCUAGUUA
rnacentral:piRNA from 1 species